AUACGGAGGGUGCAAGCGUUACUCGGAAUCACUGGGCGUAAAGCGCGCGCAGGCGGCUAUUUAAGUUGGAUGUGAAAGCCUACGGCUCAACCGUAGAACUGCAUCCAAAACUAUUUAGCUAGAGUGUGAGAGAGGAAGAUGGAAUUAGUUGUGUAGGGGUAAAAUCCGUAGAGAUAACUAGGAAUACCAAAAGCGAAGGCAAUCUUCUGGAACACUACUGACGCUGAGGCGCGAAAGCGUGGGGAGCAAACGGGAUUAGAAACCCUAGUAGUCC
rnacentral:rRNA from 1 species